GAGGUACUCCCUCCGUUCGGAAUUACUUGUCGCAGAAAUGGAUGUAUUUGGAUGUAUUUUAGUUCUAGAUACAUCCAUAUUCGAGACAAGUAAUUCCGAACGGAGGGAGUAGUAC
rnacentral:pre_miRNA from 1 species